CUGGCUCAGAGCGAACGCUGGCGGCAUGCUUAACACAUGCAAGUCGCACGAAGGUUUCGGCCUUAGUGGCGGACGGGUGAGUAACGCGUAGGAAUCUAUCCACGGGUGGGGGAUAACUUCGGGAAACUGAAGCUAAUACCGCAUGAUACCUGAGGGUCAAAGGCGCAAGUCGCCUGUGGAGGAGCCUGCGUUUGAUUAGCUUGUUGGUGGGGUAAUGGCCUACCAAGGCGAUGAUCGAUAGCUGGUUUGAGAGGAUGAUCAGCCACACUGGGACUGAGACACGGCCCAGACUCCUGCGGGAGGCAGCAGUGGGGAAUAUUGGACAAUGGGGGCAACCCUGAUCCAGCAAUGCCGCGUGUGUGAAGAAGGUUUUCGGAUUGUAAAGCACUUUCGGCGGGGACGAUGAUGACGGUACCCGCAGAAGAAGCCCCGGCUAACUUCGUGCCAGCAGCCGCGGUAAUACGAAGGGGGCUAGCGUUGCUCGGAAUGACUGGGCGUAAAGGGCGUGUAGGCGGUUUGUACAGUCAGAUGUGAAAUCCCCGGGCUUAACCUGGGAGCUGCAUUUGAUACGUGCAGACUAGAGUGUGAGAGAGGGUUGUGGAAUUCCCAGU
rnacentral:rRNA from 1 species